rnacentral:rRNA from 1 species
CCUGCGGGGGGCAGCAGUGGGGAAUAUUGGACAAUGGGCGAAAGCCUGAUCCAGCCAUGCCGCGUGUGUGAAGAAGGCCUUCGGGUUGUAAAGCACUUUCAGUGGGGAAGAAAGCCUUGGGGCUAAUACCCUCGAGGAAGGACAUCACCCACAGAAGAAGCACCGGCUAACUCCGUGCCAGCAGCCGCGGUAAUACGGAGGGUGCGAGCGUUAAUCGGAAUUACUGGGCGUAAAGCGCGCGUAGGCGGUCUGAUAAGCCGGUUGUGAAAGCCCCGGGCUCAACCUGGGAACGGCAUCCGGAACUGUCAGGCUAGAGUGCAGGAGAGGAAGGUAGAAUUCCCGGUGUAGCGGUGAAAUGCGUAGAGAUCGGGAGGAAUACCAGUGGCGAAGGCGGCCUUCUGGACUGACACUGACGCUGAGGUGCGAAAGCGUGGGUAGCAAACAGGAUUAGAUACCCGAGUAGUC